GCGCGGCCUCCGCCGAGUCCGAUCGUGCCGCCCUGUGCGGCAGGAGCCGGGGACCCACCGAGCAUUUGGGGUGAAUCGGUCCAAUUGCCGUCCAGGGCAUGGACCGUAGGGCAAACCUUCCGAACCACCCGCCCGAACCCGACAGCUAACCCGGUAGGCGGAACGUGGAAGGAGUC
rfam:Streptomyces sp. NRRL WC-3618 P435contig14.1, whole genome shotgun sequence.